UACAGGAGGCAACGGUGAGGGGAAUUUUGGACGUGGGGCUCACGGUCCAGCCAUCACGUGUGCGAUGAAGGGCGCUGGGUUGUAAAGCACUUUUGGCAGGAAAAAAACGGCACAGGAUAAUACCUGAUCACAGCUGACAAUACCUGCAAGAAUGGCUUUCGGCAACUUCAACUACGUGCCAGCAGCCGCGGUAAUACAGCAAGGUCCGCAAGCGUUAAUCGGAAUUACUGGGUAUCCUGCAAAGCCGCAGGCGGUUCAGAAGAAAGAUGUGAAAUCAGAGCCAGCUUUGGAACUGCACAUUUUAACUACCGAGCUGAUCCCAUGUCAGAGGAGGUGGAAUUCGCGUGUAAGAAGUGAAAUGCGUAGAUAUGCGGAGGAACACCGAUGGCGAAGGCAGCCUCCUGGGAUAACACUGACGCGCUCCAUGGACAGCGUGGGAGCGGCAGGUUGGUACCUCGUGAGUCCCUCAUUGCUACCACCGUGCUCCCA
rnacentral:misc_RNA from 1 species